GUAGUUAGCCGGGGCUUCCUCCUUGGCUACCGUCACUUUCUUCGUCACCAAGGACAGAGGUUUACAACCCGAAAGCCUUCUUCCCUCACGCGGCGUUGCUGGGUCAGGCUUGCGCCCAUUGCCCAAUAUUCCCCACUGCUGCCUCCCGUAGGAGUCUGGACCGUGUCUCAGUUCCAGUGUGGCCGAUCAGCCUCUCAGCUCGGCUACCCAUCGUUGGCUAGGUGGGCCGUUACCCCGCCUACUACCUAAUGGGACGCGAACCCCUCCUUUAGCGGAUUUCUCCUUUGACCUCUGUGUCAUGCGGCACUGUGGUCUUAUGCGGUAUUAGCACCUGUUUCCAAGUGUUAUCCCCCUCUAAAGGGCAGGUUGUUCACGCGUUACUCACCCGUUCGCCGCUAAGUUAAAAGUCGUCCAUCCGAAAACUUCAGACUAAUUAACUCCGCUCGACUUGCAUGUGUUAGGCGCGCCGCCAGCGUUCGUCCUAAGCCAGGAUCAAACUCUGA
rnacentral:rRNA from 1 species